rnacentral:misc_RNA from 1 species
UGCAUACCUCUUCAGUUAUGCGUCAUGACUUGUAUCGUCUUGAGCGUAUUGUGGGUUUCCUGUGUUGUGUACCUAACUAAUGGUAUUGUUUUGAUUGAUCGAAGUCCCUUUUCAUCUUGUGUUGCCUUAUUGAUGCAUGAUGAACCUUGAAGCGGUCUCUAUGAUCCACCAUGUUGAUGCUAGUGUUUCGAUGUUGUGGCCCAUUGAGCGUUGCUUAGUUUCAUGGAUACAGAACAUGAUUUGGGCAUAGGGUCACUUGUGACUCUUGUUUUGUCCUUUAUCAGUUUUCUUUAUAACGACGGUUCAUGUGCGCCUAGGCUCGUACCUGCGCGAUGUUCUUUGUCGAAGAGGAAUGC